rnacentral:rRNA from 1 species
CCGCCCGUCGUUUCAUUGAAGUGAGCUUUUAGCGAGGUGACGUCUAAUUGGCGUUAUCGAACUUGAGGUUCGUGACAAGGGAAAAGUCGUAACAAGGUGACCGUAGGGGAACCUGCGGUCGGAUCACCUCCU